CCUACGGGAGGCAGCAGUGGGGGAUAUUGCACAAUGGGGGGAACCCUGAUGCAGCGACGCCGCGUGGGUGAAGAAGCGCCUCGGCGCGUAAAGCCCUGUCAGCAGGGAAGAAAAUGACGGUACCUGAAGAAGAAGCCCCGGCUAACUACGUGCCAGCAGCCGCCGGAAUACUAAGGGGGCAAGCGUUAUCCGGAUGUACUGGGUGUAAAGGGGGCGCAGACGGCGUUGCAAGCCAGGAGUGAAAGCCCGGGGGCCCACCCCGGGACUGCUCUUGGAACUGCGUGGCUGGAGUGCAGGAGGGGCAGGCGGAAUUCCUGGUGUAGCGGUGAAAUGCGUAGAUAUCAGGAGGAACACCGGUGGCGAAGGCGGCCUGCUGGCCUGAAACUGACGUUGAGGCACGAAAGCGUGGGGAGCAAACAGGAUUAGAUACCCCUGUAGUC
rnacentral:rRNA from 1 species